GUUAGUACUUCGGGGAUGACGUUAAACUGUGCAACUGUUGAUUAAUGCUGAACCUCUUGUGUGUGUGUCUCUGUGACCGUCUCCAGUGCCCUCACAGGAUGGGUGUGGGGUCCACUGCCAUUCACAGGAUGGGUGAGAGGGAGAGAGAUGUCAAAACUAAUUUGGACUAAAGUGAAGAAUGACUGAUGUUAAGGAGCCUGAUGCAUCUUUAUGACCUGCUCACACUACCCUCCAGUUCCUCUUCGGCGGCGGCUCACUGCUUCCGUAAAGCAGAAUGGAGUAGAGAGAUAUAGGC